rnacentral:rRNA from 1 species
AACGAACGCUGGCGGCAUGCCUAACACAUGCAAGUCGAACGAGACCUUCGGGUAUAGUGGCGCACGGGUGCGUAACGCGUGGGAACCUGCCCUUAGGUUCGGAAUAACUCCCCGAAAGGGGUGCUAAUACCGGAUAAUGUCUUCGGACCAACGAUUUAUCGCCAUUGGAUGGGCCCGCGUUGGAUUAGCUAGUUGGUAGGGUAAAAGCCUACCAAGGCGACGAUCCAUAGCUGGUCUGAGAGGAUGAUCAGCCACACUGGGACUGAGACACGGCCCAGACUCCUACGGGAGGCAGCAGUGGGGAAUAUUGGACAAUGGGCAAAAGCCUGAUCCAGCAAUGCCGCGUGAGUGAUGAAGGCCUUAGGGUUGUAAAGCUCUUUUACCCGGGAUGAUAAUGACAGUACCGGGAGAAUAAGCUCCGGCUAACUCCGUG